ACUCCCGGGGGUAGGGACAUCUCUGUAGCCUUUUAAAGACAGGGGAGUAAUGGAGCUGAGUGUGGGAGGUGAGCGAGCCAGAUGUGACGGACAUUUUGAGGUCAGAGCGGGCAAACCCGGCGUGGAGGGCCCACGGGACAUCAGACACAAGUGGACUUUGCUCUUGACCCCGAGGGAAGAUGGGAGCCCGAUGAUGCACGAUCCGUCUGAGGGUUGCCGUGGACAAUAGUGUCCCCUCCUCAAAAGACGUACUCAAGCCCUAACCUCCUGUGAACGUGACCUUAUUUGGAAACAGGGUCACUGCAGAUGGAAUCGAGCCAAGUUGAAGGUAUACUUGAUUAGUGUGGGUUGGGGCUCUAAUCCAGUAUGACUGGUGUCCUUACAAGAAGAGAAGACACACACGCACACACACGCACACGCACACACACACGUGCCCACAGGGACGAUGCUGUGCGGAUUGCCCACAGCUCCCAGAAGCCAGGAGCGAGCAGGCAUGGACCAGUCUGUGUUAGGGCCGCCAGAAGGAACCAAGCCCGCGGACUCCUCGGUUUUGGACGUGUGGCCUCCAGAACUAGGAGAGAGUACUUCCUGAUGCUUUAAGUGACCCCCCUUGUGGCCAUUUGUGACGGGAGAGCGGCAGGAAACUCACACGAGGGCCUGCUGUGGGCCGAGGCUUCAUAUCCCUCUCCGUCGGAUUCUGACAACAGCCCAGAGGUGGACGGUGACUCCUUUUCCAAGAUGUUCCGAGUGAGCGGCAGGGUCAGGAUGGGAACCCUGGCCACCUGAUUCCUCAGAGGGCCAGCCCGGGGCAGAGAUAGCUCUGCGCCUCUCGUCUCCUGCCCGGACACAAACCCACUCCCGCGUCUCUGCCUCUGGAAGGCUUCUGCCCUCGCCCCCCCCCACCCGCCCCUGCGCACGGGGCCAACUUCUGCUUUCUGCAUCCCUCUUGGACUUUGGCCACCCCUGCCCUCCACACCCCCUGGCCUCCGGUGGGCAGAGACGUGGAGGCCUGGAUGCCAGGGGGAAGCUGAGCUCUCCAUCUGAAGUUGGAAACCCUCCCGCAGACAGGGGGGCAAGCGCCCACGGGUGGGGUCCUCCGCAGGAUGAACAGCUGCAUCCGUUCCCCCUCAAGCAGGUCCCCCAGGGCCACACCAAGCCUGCUGCUGUCAGAGGGCCGGGCCUGGGUUUGCCCCGUGGAGACGUGGAGACGAAACAAGCUCAACUACAGCAUUUCAAAGGCGCCUGGAAUUUCUGGUCUCUGUUUUGGAACACUCCUCCUUGCGGGCUCAAUAUGCUGAAUCCUGAAGACACAAGAUGCCAGGACCCAGGGCUAAUGGGACACAGAAGACAAGGGCUGCCCGAAUAAAUACCACCACCGUUCAAAAAAGAAAAAAAAAAAAAAGAUUCUCUCUCUCUCUCUCCCUUUGCCCCCCCCCACUCUCUCUUGAAAUGAAAGUAAUAAAAUAAUAAAAAUAAAUAAAGAAGAGUCA
rnacentral:lncRNA from 1 species